CCAUGUUCAUUUCUCUCAUCUUAGGAGUCCAUUCUUUGGAGGGUGAAAAAAUUUAACUGGAAGCCAUAUUUUCCUAUAUAAAUAUUUUUUAAAAAAAUUUAAAUAAAAAAAUAAUUUAUCUAUAUUCUUUUAUGUAUUAAAAAAUAGUUUCAAAAUCUAUCAUCCAUAUUCUUUUAUAUUAUUAUUUUACUAGAUAAGUUAUUAAGAUGUAUCUAUAUUUUUCAUAAUACAUUUUACUAU
rnacentral:lncRNA from 1 species